AUUGAACGCUGGCGGCAUGCCUUACACAUGCAAGUCGAACGGUAACAGCACUUCGGUGGCUGACGAGUGGCGAACGGGUGAGUAAUAUAUCGGAACGUGCCCAGUAGUGGGGGAUAGCCCGGCGAAAGCCGGAUUAAUACCGCAUACGACCUGAGGGUGAAAGCGGGGGAUCGCAAGACCUCGCGCUAUUGGAGCGGCCGAUAUCAGAUUAGCUAGUUGGUGGGGUAAAGGCCUACCAAGGCUACGAUCUGUAGUUGGUCUGAGAGGACGACCAGCCACACUGGGACUGAGACACGGCCCAGACUCCUACGGGAGGCAGCAGUGGGGAAUUUUGGACAAUGGGCGCAAGCCUGAUCCAGCAAUGCCGCGUGCAGGAAGAAGGCCUUCGGUUGUAACUGCUUUUGUUCAGGAAGGAAAUACUUCUGGGCUAAUACCCGGACGGAUGACGGUACCUGAAGAAUAAGCACCGGCUAACUACGUGCCAGCAGCCGCGGUAAUCU
rnacentral:rRNA from 1 species